CAUUUAAAGAGUGCGUAACAGCUCACUAGUCGAGGAGUCUGGCGUGGAUAAUAAUCGGGUAUUAAGUUGUCUACCGAAGCAGUGGGAUCAUUGAAAUGAUCGGUAGGGGAGCAUUCCAGUCAGCGUCGAAGGCGUACCGCGAGGUAUUCUGGAGCGUCUGGAAAAGCAAAUGUAGGUAUAAGUAACGAUAAAGGGGGCGGGAAACCCCCUCGCCGAAAGACUAAGGUUUCCUGAUCAACGCUAAUCGGAUCAGGGUAAGUCGGGUCCUAAGGCUCAGCCGAAGGGCGAUGCCGAUGGCAGAAACGGUUAAUAUUCCGUUACUACCUCCAGGAGUGAUGUGGAGACGCAGUAGUGACAAUGCCGCCAUCUGACGGAAUAGAUGGUUGAAGGGUGUAGAUGUUGAUCUUGGCAGGCAAAUCCACCAUGAGAAUCGAACCUGAUAGUAUGCCGCGUCCCUCGGGACAAGGCAAUAGUGCAUGUAAUCAUGCUGCCAAGAAAAUCCGCUAAACAAAAUCCUGUAGGUACCCGUACCGUAAACGGACACACGUAGUCGGGAUGAAUAUUCUAAGGCGCUUGAGUGAUUCACGGUUAAGGAACUAGGCAAACUGACCCUGUAACUUCGGGAUAAAGGGUCCCUACCCGGUGACGGGAGGGCGCAGAGAAUAGGUCCAGGCAACUGUUUAACAAAAACACAGGGCUGUGCUAAAUCGAAAGAUCCUGUAUACAGCCUGACACCUGCCCGGUGCUGGAAGGUUAAGAGGAGACGUCAUCGUUGAGAGAAGCGUUGAAUUGAAGCCCCAGUAAACGGCGGCCGUAACUAUAACGGUCCUAAGGUAGCGAAAUUCCUUGUCGGGUAAGUUCCGACCUGCACGAAUGGUGUAAUGAUCUGGACGCUGUCUCAACCGUGAGCUCAGUGAAAUUGUAGUAUCGGUGAAGAUGCCGAUUACCCGCGAUGGGACGAAAAGACCCCGUGAACCUUUACUAUAGCUUAUCAUUGAAUCUGGGCACGUGAUGUGUAGGAUAGGUCGGAGGCUUUGAAGGGGGUACGCCAGUAUCCUUGGAGCCGCUGUUGAAAUACGACCCUUCAUUUGUUUGGAUUCUAACCCGUGUAUAUGGGGACACUGAUUGGUGGGUAGUUUGACUGGGGUGGUCGCCUCCAAAAGCGUAACGGAGGCUUCUAAAGGUGCCCUCACGGCGAUUGGUAACCGCCGUUAGAGUGUAAUGGCAUAAGGGCGCUUGACUGGGAGACUGACAAGUCGAUCAGGUAGGAAACUAGAGCAUAGUGAUCCGGUGUUUCCGUAUGGAAGGGACAUCGCUCAAAGGAUAAAAGGUACUCCGGGGAUAACAGGCUGAUCCCUCCCAAGAGCUCAUAUCGACG
rnacentral:rRNA from 1 species